AGUCAAGUAAUUAAGUGCAUGUGGUGGAUGCCUUGGCAGUCAGAGGCGAUGAAAGACGUGAUAGCCUGCGAAAAGCUCCGGGGAGGCGGCAAAUAUCCUUUGAUCCGGAGAUGUCUGAAUGGGGGAACCCACCUACUUUAAGGUAGGUAUUGCAACAUGAAUACAUAGUGUUGCAAGGCGAACGAGGGGAAGUGAAACAUCUCAGUACCCUUAGGAAAAGAAAUCAAUUGAGAUUCCCUCAGUAGCGGCGAGCGAACGGGGAUCAGCCCAUUAAGUUAUGUGUGUUUUAGUGGAACGCUCUGGGAAGUGCGAACGUAGAGGGUGAUAUUCCCGUACACGAAAGGGCACACAUAAUGAUGACGAGUAGGGCGAGGCACGUGAAACCUUGUCUGAAUAUGGGGGGACCAUCCUCCAAGGCUAAAUACUCCUGACUGACCGAUAGUGAACCAGUACCGUGAGGGAAAGGCGAAAAGAACCCCUGUGAGGGGAGUGAAAUAGAUCCUGAAACCGCAUGCAUACAAGCAGUGGGAGCACCUUCGUGGUGUGACUGCGUACCUUUUGUAUAAUGGGUCAGCGACUUAUAUUCAGUAGCGAGGUUAACCGUAUAGGGGAGCCGUAGAGAAAUCGAGUCUUAAUAGGGCGUUUAGUUGCUGGGUAUAGACCCGAAACCAGGCGAUCUAUCCAUGAGCAGGUUGAAGGUUGGGUAACACUAACUGGAGGACCGAACCCACUGUCGUUGAAAAGCCAGGGGAUGACUUGUGGAUAGGGGUGAAAGGCUAAUCAAGCCUGGUGAUAGCUGGUUCUCCCCGAAAGCUAUUUAGGUAGCGCCUCGGACGAAUACCAUAGGGGGUAGAGCACUGUUUCGGCUAGGGGGUCAUCCCGACUUACCAAACCGAUGCAAACUCCGAAUACCUAUGAGUACUAUCCGGGAGACAGACUGCGGGUGCUAACGUCCGUAGUCAAGAGGAAAACAAUCCAGACCGCCAGCUAAGGCCCCAAAAUCAUAGUUAAGUGGGAAACGAUGUGGGAAGGCAUAGACAGCUAGGAGGUUGGCUUAGAAGCAGCCACCCUUUAAAGAAAGCGUAAUAGCUCACUAGUCGAGUCGGCCUGCGCGGAAGAUGUAACGGGGCUAAAACUAUGUGCCGAAGCUGCGGAUGUAUACUUUGUAUACGUGGUAGGGGAGCGUUCUGUAAGCCGAUGAAGGUGUGUUGAGAAGCAUGCUGGAGGUAUCAGAAGUGCGAAUGCUGACGUGAGUAACGACAAAACGGGUGAAAAACCCGUUCGCCGAAAGACCAAGGGUUCCAGUCCAACGUUAAUCGGGGCUGGGUGAGUCGACCCCUAAGGCGAGGCCGAAAGGCGUAGUCGAUGGGAAAAUGGUUAAUAUUCCAUUACUUCUGUGUAAUGCGAUGAGAGGACGGAGAAGGCUAAAUCAGCCUGGCGUUGGUUGUCCAGGUGAAAGGAUGUAGGCAUGUAUCUUAGGCAAAUCCGGGGUACUCUAUGCUGAGAUCUGAUAGCAAGCUGUACUUGUACAGCGAAGUGGUUGAUGCCAUGCUUCCAGGAAAAGUCUCUAAGCUUCAGUUACACAGGAAUCGUACCCGAAACCGACACAGGUGGUCAGGUCGAGUAGACCAAGGCGCUUGAGAGAACUCUGCUGAAGGAACUAGGCAAAAUGGUACCGUAACUUCGGGAGAAGGUACGCUGUUGUUGGUGAUGGAACU
rnacentral:rRNA from 1 species